GACGAACGCUGGCGGCGUGCUUAACACAUGCAAGUCGAACGGAAAGGCCCCUUCGGGGGUACUCGAGUGGCGAACGGGUGAGUAGCACGUGAGUAACCUGCCCUUGACUUCGGGAUAACUUCAGGAAACUGGGGCUAAUACCGGAUAGGAAUCCUUGCUGCAUGGUGGGGGUUGGAAAGCUUCGGCGGUUUUGGAUGGACUCGCGGCUUAUCAGCUUGUUGGUGGGGUAGUGGCUUACCAAGGCUUUGACGGGUAGCCGGCCUGAGAGGGCGACCGGCCACAUUGGGACUGAGAUACGGCCCAGACUCCUACGGGAGGCAGCAGUGGGGAAUAUUGCACAAUGGGCGGAAGCCUGAUGCAGCAACGCCGCGUGCGGGAUGACGGCCUUCGGGUUGUAAACCGCUUUCAGCAGGGGCGAAGCUUGUGGUGACGGUACCUGCAGAAGAAGCACCGGCUAACUACGUG
rnacentral:rRNA from 1 species